AGGUAGUAAAACAUUUUAUUAAAACCUAUAUAACUUAAUGGCGGCAUUUUCUAUUCUAGAGGAACUUGUUUUCUAAUCGACAUUCCACGAUAUCUUCUCACUUUUUUUCAAAGCUUAUAUACCGCCGUCUUAAGGAUAAAUUAUAAAAUAUUUUCCUAAAGAUUUUUAUAGAAAGUUAGGUAAAGGUGUAGUCUAUAAAAAAGAAAAAAUGAGUUACAUUAAAAAUUAUUUAAAGAAGAUAAAUUAAAUUUUUUCGGAAAUAGGAUUUAGAAGUAAAAGAGAAAAAUUAUUUCUCUUUGAAAUAAAUUGAAUAUGUGC
rnacentral:rRNA from 1 species